AGUUAAAUUGCUGAUGUCUGUGAACAGAGUGGAGGGUAACACCCAAGCCACCUACGGAAUCUCUAGGAAUGAUUGGGAAGAUGCUGAAUUUCAGAAGUUGUCAAACGGUGGAAACACAGGGACAGCUCAGAAGUCUAAGAGGAAAGUGGGUCUAGAUGAUGUAUUUUAAAGGUGAGCACUGUGUCUGGCUACCCUAGUGCUGCCUACAGUAUCCACUGGGUUCUCACCAUGCACUGUAAUAGAUACUUUGUUCCUAUAAACUCCAAUGAUAAAAAUCAGUCUUGGGAGCUUUUACAGUGGCCUUGUAACUGCAACUCCCGGGCUCCAUCGCCCUCUUCUGGCCUCCGUGGGCACUGCGCUCGUGCACAUUCCCACACACAGACAUACACACAUAAUUAAAAAUAAAAGGUAAAUCUCAAAUUAGUCUUGCUAGGAGGUGGUGGCCCACAACUUUAACCCCAACGCUUUUAGGCAGAGUGAGUUGUAGGACAGACAGGGCUACAUAGAGGAAACCUCAUCUCAAAAACAAAUGAAACAAAAAAAAAUUAGCCUUGUGAAAUGUGAUGCAAAGUUACUUGAUAAAUUCUGUCAUUUAAAAUCCACCUUAAUGGUCAUGUUGGAAAUAAAGCUUGGACAUGCUUAGUUUUACCCUCUCAAAGCAAAUUUCCUUAUUAGGAUAUUUUUACUCUAGCUGGGCAUGCAACUUGAAUUCCAGGCCAGCCGGGGUUACGCAAUGAGACCCCUGAUAUAAAAAAAGAAAGAGAAAGGUUUUUAUUUAUUUAUCUGUUAUUUAUCUGUCUUAGAUGUGUAUGCCCCUCUCGCUUUACGUACUAUGCAUUGUUUUCGUUUGUUU
rnacentral:lncRNA from 1 species